rnacentral:tRNA from 1 species
UCCCUGGUGGUCCAGUGGCUAAGACCCUGCCCUGCCAAUGCAGAGGGCCCAGGUUCAAUGCCUGGUAAGGUAA